rnacentral:lncRNA from 1 species
GCAUUGCAAAGAAAAUGGCCUUUGCUUUUUAUAGCACCCAGAACAACAGCAAAAUGGCACGGCAGCUGGAUCACAUGGAAAUCUAUUUUGUGUAGGAUAUUGGAGACCAAGAUAAGCAGCUUUAUACCUGGAAAUGGGCCUGCCUUUCCUUCAGCUGAACCCUUAAUGUGAAGGCCAGGGGAAAGAGUAAAUCUAGUGACACAACAAUGUGAAAAUACUUUCACUUCAACCCCAUGAAGAUUACAUAGAAGAAAAUGCCAGAUGAAGUUCCUUAUUGUUUCUCAUUCACAGAAUUUAUUUCCACUAAGUUAUUAAAAAAAUGGGCAAAAGAAAGUGGAACUUCAACUGUUCCUUAGGACAAUACGGACUUGUGUUUUUGAAGAAGCAAAGUGGAAAUGAUUAGGCAGCAGGGACUCUUUGCAGAAAAACGUAAGGAGCAAAGAAAAAUUUCUCAGAAAAGGAGAUUUGAAGCACAAUUGUCAUCAGUUCACAGAAGAAUUUUGAAGUUCUGUUUCCAGAGGCCUCUCUCUGCCUGCCCAGAGACUGUACAUCUUCAGAGAUGAGCAAAACUCUGCACUCUGCAAAAUCAGCACCCUCUGUCUAAUCAAAAGUUAACUUGGCCCAGGUUUUAGUUUCUCUGUAAGUUUUGUUGGAAAGUAAUAUAAUAAAUCUUAUUACAAGAUACAGCUGAUUAUGUAUACAUUAUGUCUUUGGAGAAAUUUGCAUUUUAAGAGGAAGGUCAAGGAUGCCUUAAUUACAAACAUUGCAUUUUUGGUUAUUUAAAUAGUAUCUGGGAAAACGGUGAAGAUAUAUAGGAAGUUAAGAAAGAUACCUGUAUCUACCACGUGUGAAAGAUUAUCUCAGUAAAUAGAAUUGGCUACAUAUUCAUCUAUUAUAAUAAUACCAAAAAAGAAGAUAUAUAUCUUCAAAGCGUCACAAUUUUUGUAGUCAGCAAAAUGAAUGGCAAAGAUAAUGAGAGAAUAAAGAUACAAAAAUGAGUAUUUAAAAAUAGAAUUCCAAUGGGAAAACUGUUAAUUUUAAAAAUUAUAUGUAAAGAUGAGGUUGCUGUUAAGCAUUUUACACCAAUAGAGAUAUCAAUUGGAAUAUUUUAUGUGAAGAAAAGAAAUAAUGACUUAACUUUGUCAAUAAAGAAAGCA